rnacentral:ncRNA from 1 species
CCCAGUAAGCGCAAGUCAUCAGCUUGCGUUGAUUACGUCCCUGCCCUUUGUACACACCGCCCGUCGCUACUACCGAUUGAAUGGUUUAGCAAGGUCCUCGGAUUGGUGCCGACUUGGUGGCAACACUAGGUCGGAUACUGAAAAGAAGAUCAAACUUGAUCAUUUAGAGGAAGUAAAAGUCGUAACAAGGUUUCCGUAGGUGAACCUGCGGAAGGAUCAUUA